UGGGGAAUAUUGGACAAUGGGCGAAAGCCUGAUCCAGCCAUGCCGCGUGUGUGAAGAAGGUCUUCGGAUUGUAAAGCACUUUAAGUUGGGAGGAAGGGCAGUAAGUUAAUACCUUGCUGUUUUGACGUUACCGACAGAAUAAGCACCGGCUAACUCUGUGCCAGCAGCCGCGGUAAUACAGAGGGUGCAAGCGUUAAUCGGAAUUACUGGGCGUAAAGCGCGCGUAGGUGGUUUGUUGAGUUGGAUGUGAAAGCCCCGGGCUCAACCUGGGAACUGCAUCCAAAACUGGCAAGCUAGAGUACGGUAGAGGGUGGUGGAAUUUCCUGUGUAGCGGUGAAAUGCGUAGAUAUAGGAAGGAACACCAGUGGCGAAGGCGACCACCUGGACUGAUACUGACACUGAGGUGCGAAAGCGUGGGGAGCAAACA
rnacentral:rRNA from 1 species